UCCCUUGUAGCUCAGUCGGUAAAGAAUCUGCCUGCAAUGCAGGAGACCUGGGUUUGAUUCCUUGGUUGGGAA
rnacentral:tRNA from 1 species